rnacentral:rRNA from 1 species
CCUACGGGAGGCAGCAGUGAGGAAUAUUGGUCAAUGGACGCAAGCCUGAACCAGCCAUGCCGCGUGCAGGAUGACGGCUCUAUGAGUUGUAAACUUCUUUUGUACGAGGGUAAACGCAGAUACGCGUAUCUUUCUGAAAGUAUCUUACGAAUAAGGAUCGGCUAACUCCGUGCCAGCAGCCGCGGUAAUACGGAGGAUUCAAGCGUUAUCCGGAUUUAUUGGGUUUAAAGGGUGCGUAGGCGGUCGGUUAAGUUAGAGGUGAAAGCCCGGGGCUCAACUUCGGAAUUGCCUCUGAUACUGUGCGGCUAGAGGAGAGUUGAGGUAGGCGGAAUGUAUGGUGUAGCGGGGAAAUGCUUAGAGAUCAUACAGAACACCGAUUGCGAAGGCAGCUUACCAAGCUACUUCUGACGUUGAGGCACGAAAGCGUGGGGAGCAAACAGGAUUAGAUACCCGGGUAGUC